GACGAACGCUGGCGGCGUGCUUAACACAUGCAAGUCGAACGGAAAGGCCCUGCUUUUGUGGGGUGCUCGAGUGGCGAACGGGUGAGUAACACGUGAGUAACCUGCCCUUGACUUUGGGAUAACUUCAGGAAACUGGGGCUAAUACCGGAUAGGAGCUCCUGCUGCAUGGUGGGGGUUGGAAAGUUUCGGCGGUUGGGGAUGGACUCGCGGCUUAUCAGCUUGUUGGUGGGGUAGUGGCUUACCAAGGCUUUGACGGGUAGCCGGCCUGAGAGGGUGACCGGCCACAAUGGGACUGAGAUACGGCCCAGACUCCUACGGGAGGCAGCAGUGGGGAAUAUUGCACAAUGGGCGGAAGCCUGAUGCAGCAACGCCGCGUUCGGGAUGACGGCCUUCGGGUUGUAAACCGCUUUCGCCUGUGACGAAGCGUGAGUGACGGUAAUGGAUAAAGAAGCACCGGCUAACUACGUG
rnacentral:rRNA from 1 species